GAUGAUAUGGCAAUACCAUCAUUACACUCUGAGAUAGGUAGCACGCUAUUCGCUUCGUUUAUUUCAUUUAGAAAUAAACUUAGCUAGAAAUGUAAAUCAACUAGAAUUCGAACUUGGGUCUUGGGUACCCACCACCAAACCCUUUGCCACUUGCUCUAGGGACGGUCGGUAUUACACUCUAAAUAUUAAUCUUUAUAUAUCAUCAUUACACUCUAAGUAUUAAUUACUGAACCCACGCACUAUUAUUAAAUCCUAUAUAUAUCACCAUUUUAUUCUAAACCCUAAAUUUUAACCUAUCCGUAUAUAUAUGUCAAUUCAUCUACAAUAAUAGGGUACUCAAAAGUGAGAUAUCCCACAUUUCUCUUUUACAU
rnacentral:lncRNA from 1 species